CCGGAGGUUGAACUGACGCCAGACGGCCCUCAGCGAAGUCGCCGAGGUCCGUCGGCUUUAUCUGUGCCGAAGGUGCGGUGUGUCUCGCCGGCGAAGGGUGGGUGGCGGCAGAUCUGGUUCCUUGGGGUUUUUGCGCCUCGUAUUGUUUUCUCUCUCCUCUGGACCGACGCCGGACGGCCCUCAGGGAAGUCGUCGGGGCCGGUCGGCUUUGUCUAUGACGACGGUGAGAGGUCAUUCGCCGGCAAGGGUGGCGGCGGCUUCCUUAGGGUUUUAUCUUCCUUAGUGUUUUCUCU